GUGGGGAAUAUUGGACAAUGGGCGAAAGCCUGAUCCAGCCAUGCCGCGUGUGUGAAGAAGGUCUUCGGAUUGUAAAGCACUUUAAGUUGGGAGGAAGGGCAGUAAGUUAAUACCUUGCUGUUUUGACGUUACCGACAGAAUAAGCACCGGCUAACUUCGUGCCAGCAGCCGCGGUAAUACGAAGGGUGCAAGCGUUAAUCGGAAUUACUGGGCGUAAAGCGCGCGUAGGUGGUUUUGUAAGUUGGAGGUGAAAUCCCCGUGCUCAACCUGGGAACUGCCUCCAAAACUGCAUGACUAGAGUACGGUAGAGGGUAGUGGAAUUUCCUGUGUAGCGGUGAAAUGCGUAGAUAUAGGAAGGAACACCAGUGGCGAAGGCGACUACCUGGACUGAUACUGACACUGAGGUGCGAAAGCGUGGGGAGCAAACAGGAUUAGAAACCCUGGUAGUCC
rnacentral:rRNA from 1 species